rnacentral:rRNA from 1 species
UCGGCGGGCGGCCCGCUCCCCUGGAAAGCCCCUGUGGCCGCCCGGGGCUGCAGGCCCCCCGGCCCCCCCUCGCGGGGGCGCCCGCCGGAGGAUGCCCAACUCUUGAUAAUUUUAGGCCUCUCUGAGUCUUCUGUACUGAAUAAGUCAAAACUUUCAACAACGGAUCUCUUGGUUCUGGCAUCGAUGAAGAACGCAGCGAAAUGCGAUAAGUAAUGUGAAUUGCAGAAUUCAGUGAAUCAUCGAAUCUUUGAACGCACAUUGCGCCCGCCAGUAUUCUGGCGGGCAUGCCUGUUCGAGCGUCAUUUCAACCAUCAAGCCCCAGGCUUGUGGUGGGGAACCGCGGCUGCCCGCAGGCCCCUGAAAACCAGUGGCGGGCUCGCUGUCACCCCGAGCGUAGUAGCAAUCACCUCGCUCAGGGCGUGCCGCGGGCGCCGGCCGUUAAAGCUGCCUUCGCGCAACACCCAAGGUGAA